UAGCAAAUCUGAAUUUAAGGUUUUUAUGCUCUAAUGGAUGAACAAGCACCAAAAUCAUAAAUAAAUAGUUGUAUACGACCUAUUAAUUUGGUGUCUGAUUAUGCACCAUCUUUUAGUCUUGGAUUAACUCAAGAAGAUGUAGUUAAUGUUGUUUCUAGUCACCUAAAAUCGAAAAAAUUUCAAAGUACGAAGGAACAAAUUCGUAACGACGCGGUGAAGAUGGAUGAUAUUGUCAGAAAAAAAUGAUUGAAGAAAACUCAUUCACCAAAAGAGAAAAAAGAAAAAAAAUUGAAAGAAAAAGGAAAGCCAAAGAAAUUAAAGAAUUAAGUAAGAUUGAUAACGAUGUUCAGAACUCUUCUGAUAAUAAAUCUGAAGAAGAGAUGGAGGAAUAGGUUGUAUUUAACAACAUUGAGCCAACUCAAAGAGAAAUGACAAAGUUUCAAAUACCAGAGAAGGUUGGACUUGAAGAUGAGCGUUAGUUGAUUCGGAUAUGACUUCCAGGAUCCACCGCCUAAACAAAUUAAUGAACGUUCAAAAAAGAAAUAAAAGGUUGAAGAAAUCAGUGAGGAAACAGUCACACAAUAUUGUUGACGAGCAUACCCCAAAGAGGACUCCAGCUCCUCGUGUUGCAAAGAUUGCCAGAGUGAAGACACCAGUAUUUAAGCCAAUACAAACACAACAGGUAACUGCUUCAAAAAUGAAGAAUGUGAAGCAAAUAUCUGGGGUUAUUUUUCCUUCGGUACAGUCAAACAAAAGAAGUCCUGCAGAGACAGAAGUUUGUCGAGAGUUGAAAGGGAUUCGUAGACUUGUGAAAACAAAAUUCAAUUGGAUUCUUAAAGUAAUUGAACAAAGCAAGCAACAGAAUAAAGAGAAAGAUCCUGAUCCCCAACAUAUGGAUUAUGUUGAUGCCGAAACAUCUGAACAACGCCUUAGUCCCAAUGUUGUACAAAAUUUAGGUGAGAAGUUGGAUGGUACAAAGGUAAAUAAUUAACUUACAUAUGUUUAUUCUUUGGACUGCACAUAUAUAAUUUUGUACUUCGCAUUUAUUUGUUCAUCUAUAUAUAUGUAUAUAAAAAUAUACAACUGGAUGUGUGUUUGAUGUUCAUUUAAAUUUUUUUAUUUGUCUGCAAGAGGUGCACUGAUUUACAUUCAGAUAAAACAAACAAUGAAAUUGAAUCUCAAUAUUUAGUCCCUGAUGAGCUUCUCCAAAAUAUGAAUUUGAAUUAUAUACAUUCUGAGAAGGUUGUUCAAGAAGAUUGUCGAAUCAGGGAUGAAAAAUUGAAUGAAAUAAUUUUGACUGAUUCGUAAAUUACAAUCCCCGAUGACCCACUACCGAGUCUAAAUACAUAUCAAAGAAAAAACAUCAUCGUACAUUCAACGGCAAACCGUAAAGAACAAACUCCUGAUGAUUUGAAUGAUAAACAUUUCGAGACUGUUGUUGAAGAGCAUGGUUGAAUCAACAAUGAGUGCGUGAAGAAGGUCAAUAUGGUAUAGAGGAUAAAAUUAGGACACCUCCUAAAACUCAUACACUAAGCACUGAUGCACCAAGGGAUGAACCAGUUUGACCUGAUUCACAAAACACUAUCCCUAAUGAGUUCCUACAUAGUCUGAACGUCUACAAGGAAAAGUAUCAUCGUUCAUCUCUUCACAAAUCUUGAAAAUCAAACUCCCAAACAAAAGAUAAGAAUUAGACGACCAUCCAAAUACAAAGAGUCACUAUACACGAUUAAGUUUAGGUCAGUAGAAGGGAGCUCAGCAAGUGAAAUACAUAUAUUUUCUAAGAAACAUUCAUUUGUUUCUCACCCAAUUGAUGAGAUAGUGGACAAAAAGAUUGUUGAUAAGUUUAUGGACUAAAUUUCUAUCGAUCUUCUUAAAGGUCAUGCUAAAAGGAAGGAAAAAGAGGAUCAUUAUAAGAGGAGCAAAUCAGCCAUUCCAAUGAUGCAUUUCGGAGUUGAAAUUGUUGAAGAUAAAAAUUAAUUUUACACUAUGGUGUUCGCUGAUCAAUCGUGGACAGACUCGCAAAUUGAUGUUUGCUUCUACUAUUUGCGGAAGAAGUCGAAGUAUGAGCCCCACAGCUCUUACAAAUACAGCACAGUGAUUGCAACUUUAUGAAUAUAAUUAGUGUCAUGGCAUACAGUGGAUAAUAGCUUUAUUCCUGUCAAUAUAAGGGAGAAACAUCAUUGAGUUCUCACAGUUUUAUCAUUCACCGAGAGGUUCAUAUUCUUAUAUGAUUCAUAUGAAUCCUCUGGGCACUAUACGGUUGUUCUGUCUGAGAUAGAUAAAUUAGCUGAGAUUAUUUCAUUGUGUCUCAAAGCUUGCAAUUUCUACGAAAAGAAAGGUAUUGAUCUUCAUAACCAUCCAAGAUACAAAGAUAAAGACUUGUUAGAUCUUUUAAAUGUGUUAUUUGAAGAAGAUUUGCCUCAACAACCAAGCAAAAGCUUGGACUGUGGUCUGUAUAUGAUAACAUACGCAGAGUGUCUUUCAUAUGGCAAAAGAUUUUCUUCGAUUGAGUUCAACCCCAACACACUUCGUACCCGUUAUGUUGUACUAUUCUGGGACUAUGGCAUGAGAAAAUAAGAAGCAAAUGUUCUAGUGAUGUUGAAGCAUCCUUAAGGCCCGGCAGGCAAAUCCGAAUUACUAGUA